AUCUUAAAAACAUAACGUUCGAGCCCAUGAGUUUUUAGAACUACUGGCACGGCAGAUUCAAACAUUAACAUUUUCCACAUACACCGCAACAAAUAUUAACGCGAAGUUCCAUAUAAUAAAUGAGACGAGCAUCAUAUAUGCAACAAAGUAUACAGCUUAGAUCACACAAUUAUUGGGAUAGGCAAACCCUUUGGAAUAUUUUUCAGUUCAGGUACACGCUUCCUGCCCCUCCCCCAUCACUUUUAACAUCAAAAUCUUUCCAGAAAGGAAAUAAUAAAGCUAUUAAAUGCGACCUGUUUAUUUCCCCACUAUUUCUGUCUGUCUCAGCCAGUUCCCCAACCCUUACACGGAGUCCCUGCUCCUGCCGCCCUCCUCGGAACCAGGGCCUCCAGGGAUCUUUCCCGAUCCAGCUUGUUUCCCGUGCCAACUCCACCUGGACGCCUUGAAAACCCAGCGUCAGACAAGAAAACUCCACUGGCACAAUUGAGGCGGGGGUGAAGAAGGACUUGAACCCUCAGAGGCUAGAGAGAUGUAAGGGAAUACGACCACGCUGGGGACCAUCAGGAACAGAGCUAAGGAAGUGGGGAGCCACUAGGAGCACGGAGGCCCUCCCCGACUGACGCAUUGCGGUUGCCUCCUGGACUAAGGAAUCCAGGCACCAACUGACCUCAAACCCCAAGUCUACCAAUGCCACCUUAGGAAUCACUUCUCUUUUCUCUCCUUUUCCUGGCCCCCUCCUUUUCUUCUUUCUUUCUUAAUUCCAUUUACCUCCCCCCCUCCCCACCUCUCCUAUCUGUGGAACCAUAAUGAAAUCAAAUAAAAGAAAUUAAGGCCGAAAGAGAGCUUGCUCAGGAAGGCGGUUAAUAAAGGGAAGCUGGUUUGAGGCACUUGAUUUCCCCGUCUAAUUGCCUUCAUUGGCUUUCCCUACUUUGAUGUGGAACAGGAUUUGGCGCUAAUAAAAUAAGGACUUUCAGUCUGCAAUAAACUCAUCUCCACACAAAACCAA